rnacentral:rRNA from 1 species
GACGAACGCUGGCGGCGUGCUUAACACAUGCAAGUCGAACGGAAAGGCCCUGCUUUUGUGGGGUGCUCGAGUGACGAACGGGUGAGUAACACGUGAGUAACCUGCCCUUGACUUUGGGAUAACUUCAGGGAACUGGGGCUAAUACCGGAUAGGAGCUCCUGCUGCAUGGUGGGGGUUGGAAAGUUUCGGCGGUUGGGGAUGGACUCGCGGCUUAUCAGCUUGUUGGUGGGGUAGUGGCUUACCAAGGCUUUGACGGGUAGCCGGCCUGAGAGGGUGACCGGCCACAUUGGGACUGAGAUACGGCCCAGACUCCUACGGGAGGCAGCAGUGGGGAAUAUUGCACAAUGGGCGGAAGCCUGAUGCAGCAACGCCGCGUGCGGGAUGACGGCCUUCGGGUUGUAAACCGCUUUCGCCUGUGACGAAGCGUGAGUGACGGUAAUGGGUAAAGAAGCACCGGCUAACUACGUGCCAGCAGCCGCGGUGAUACGUAGGGUGCGAGCGUUGUCCGGAUUUAUUGGGCGUAAAGGGCUCGUAGGUGGUUGAUCGCGUCGGAAGUGUAAUCUUGGGGCUUAACCCUGAGCGUGCUUUCGAUACGGGUUGACUUGAGGAAGGUAGGGGAGAAUGGAAUUCCUGGUGGAGCGGUGGAAUGCGCAGAUAUCAGGAGGAACACCAGUGGCGAAGGCGGUUCUCUGGGCCUUUCCUGACGCUGAGGAGCGAAAGCGUGGGGAGCGAACAGGCUUAGAUACCCUGGUAGUCCACGCUGUAAACGGUGGGUACUAGGUGUGGGGUCCAUUCCACGGGUUCCGUGCCGUAGCUAACGCUUUAAGUACCCCGCCUGGGGAGUACGGCCGCAAGGCUAAAACUCAAAGGAAUUGACGGGGCCCCGCACAAGCGGCGGAGCAUGCGGAUUAAUUCGAUGCAACGCGUAGAACCUUACCUGGGUUUGACAUGGAUCGGGAGUGCUCAGAGAUGGGUGUGCCUCUUUUGGGGUCGGUUCACAGGUGGUGCAUGGCUGUCGUCAGCUCGUGUCGUGAGAUGUUGGGUUAAGUCCCGCAACGAGCGCAACCCUUGUUCACUGUUGCCAGCACGUUAUGGUGGGGACUCAGUGGAGACCGCCGGGGUCAACUCGGAGGAAGGUGGGGAUGACGUCAAGUCAUCAUGCCCCUUAUGUCCAGGGCUUCACGCAUGCUACAAUGGCUGGUACAGAGAGUGGCGAGCCUGUGAGGGUGAGCGAAUCUCGGAAAGCCGGUCUCAGUUCGGAUUGGGGUCUGCAACUCGACCUCAUGAAGUCGGAGUCGCUAGUAAUCGCAGAUCAGCAACGCUGCGGUGAAUACGUUCCCGGGGCU